GGACCAAGGAGUCUAGCAUGUGCGCGAAGUCWUUGGGAAUUAAUAAACCUAAAGGCGAAAUGAAAGUAAAGGAUAGUUGAAGCAAAACAACAUCCUAGGGAAGAWGGGACACACUUCGGUGUGACCCCGCACUCCCGGGACGUCUCUACAGCUCGCUUGCGAGUUGAGGCGUACUUAGAGCGUACAYGCUGGGACCC
rnacentral:rRNA from 1 species